rnacentral:rRNA from 1 species
AGUGAACGCUGGCGGUAGGCCUAACACAUGCGAGUCGAACGGCAGCACAGUAAGAGCUUGCUCUUACGGGUGGCGAGUGGCGGACGGGUGAGGAAUACAUCGGAAUCUACUUUUUCGUGGGGGAUAACGUAGGGAAACUUACGCUAAUACCGCAUACGACCUACGGGUGAAAGCAGGGGAUCUUCGGACCUUGCGCGAUUGAAUGAGCCGAUGUCGGAUUAGCUAGUUGGCGGGGUAAAGGCCCACCAAGGCGACGAUCCGUAGCUGGUCUGAGAGGAUGAUCAGCCACACUGGAACUGAGACACGGUCCAGACUCCUACGGGAGGCAGCAGUGGGGAAUAUCGGACAAUGGGCGCAAGCCUGAUCCAGCCAUACCGCGUGGGUGAAGAAGGCCUUCGGGUUGUAAAGCCCUUUUGUUGGGAAAGAAAAGCAGCAGGUUAAUACCCCGCUGUUCUGACGGUACCCAAAGAAUAAGCACCGGCUAACUUCGUG